rnacentral:rRNA from 1 species
AUUGAACGCUGGCGGCAGGCCUAACACAUGCAAGUCGAACGAGUGGCGGACGGGUGAGUAAUGUCUGGGAAACUGACUGAUGGAGGGGGAUAACUACUGGAAACGGUAGCUAAUAACGCAUACCAUCGGAUGUGCCCAGAUGGGAUUAGCAAGUAGGUGGGGUAAAGGCUCACCUAGGCGACGAUCCCUCGCUGGUCUGAGAGGAUGACCAGCCACACUGGAAUGGAGACACGGUCCAUACGUCUACGGGAGGCAGCAGUGGGGAAUAUUGCACAAUGGGCGCAAGCCGUAUGCAGCCAUGCCGCGUGUAUGAAGAAGGCCUUCGGGUUGUAAAGUACUUUCAGCGGGGAGGCGUUACCCGCAGAAGAAGCACCGGCUAACUACGUGCCAGCAGCCGCGGUAAUAC